rnacentral:rRNA from 1 species
GUCAGCAGUCAUACCACCUACAGUUCAGACUAGAUAAUCCAUCUGAAUCCAAGCAGCUUUGGGCCUGGCCAGUACUUGGAUGGGAAACCAACUAGUAAAGCUGUGUUUUGUUGGAA